GGCUCAGGAUGAACGCUAGCGGCAGGCUUAAUACAUGCAAGUCGUGGGGCAGCAGGUUUGUAGCAAUACAGAUGCUGGCGACCGGCAAACGGGUGCGGAACACGUACAGAACCUUCCUUUGAGCGGGGAAUAGCCCAGAGAAAUUUGGAUUAAUACCCCAUAGUAUAAUGAAGUGGCAUCACUUUAUUAUUAAAGAUUUAUCACUCGAAGAUGGCUGUGCGGCUGAUUAGGUAGUUGGCGGGGUAAAGGCCCACCAAGCCUGCGAUCAGUGACUGGUGUGAGAGCACGACCAGUCACACGGGCACUGAGACACGGGCCCGACUCCUACGGGAGGCAGCAGUAAGGAAUAUUGGUCAAUGGAGGCAACUCUGAACCAGCCAUGCCGCGUGGAGGAUGAAGGUCCUCUGGAUUGUAAACUUCUUUAUAUGGGACGAAAAAGGCUUUCUAAGUCGUCUGACGGUACCAUAUGAAUAAGCACCGGCUAACUCCGUG
rnacentral:rRNA from 1 species